UAGGCUAAAGUCCGGUUGGUUGGACAUCUAGUUGUUAACUAGAUUUUUGUAGGAUCGAAGCCUGCUAGUCUAG
rnacentral:tRNA from 1 species